GAUGAACGCUGGCGGUGUGCCUAAUACAUGCAAGUCGAGCGAACAGAUGAGGAGCUUUCUCCUCUGACGUUAGAGGCGGACGGGAGAGUAACAUGUGGAUAACCUACCUAUAAGACUGGGAUAACAAUGGGAAAUCGGAGCUAAUACAGGAUAAUAAUUUGAAGCGGAUGGUCUCAUAGUUAAAUACGGUGUUGGUGUCAUAUAUAGUCACCUACGCACCGGCUUGUCGAGUAGGUAAGGUAACGGCUUACCAAUGUAACGGUGCGUAGCCGACCUGACAGGGAGAUCGAGCACGUCUGAACGGAGGCCCGGUCCAGAUGCCUACGAGAGGCAGCAGUAGGGAAUCUUCCGCGAUGGAGGGAAGCAUUACGGAGAAACGGCGCGUGAGUGACGAAGGUCUUCCGAUCGUAAAACUCUGCUAUUAGGGAAGAACAAAUGUGUAAUUAACUAUGCACGUCUUGACGGUACCUAAUCAGAAAGCCACGGCUAACUACGUG
rnacentral:rRNA from 1 species